rnacentral:rRNA from 1 species
UACGUAGGGGGCAAGCGUUGUCCGGAAUCAUUGGGCGUAAAGGGCGCGUAGGUGGCGGGACAAGCGUGCGGUGAAAGCUCGGGGCUCAACCCCGAGUCGGCCGUGCGAACUGUUUUGCUUGAGCACUGUAGAGGCAGGCGGAAUUCCGGGUGUAGCGGUGGAAUGCGUAGAGAUCGGGAAGAACACCAGUGGCGAAAGCGCUCUGCUGGACUGCAACUGACACUGAGGGACGAAAGCUAGGGGAGCGAAAGGG